rnacentral:misc_RNA from 1 species
GGGGCGACUUCCUCGAUGACGGUGUCAUCGCUCGUUCGAUUCCGCUUCGCGGUCUGCAAAAUUGAGAAACCCAAACCCAUUUCCGAUUCUUUCUAAUUCUAUCGAAAAUCUCUCUCUUUCUUCUCUUUCUCUGCGUUUCGUUUUUGUUCAACUUUGAUUUGACUAUUUGAUUAUUUGUUUGGUUGUGGGAUUUGAAAUGCGAGAAUUCAAUUAUGGGAACACCGCAAUUCCCUG